rnacentral:rRNA from 1 species
UACGUAGGGAGCGAGCGUUGUCCGGAUUUAUUGGGCGUAAAGCGCGCGUAGGCGGUUUUGUAAGUCGGGUGUGAAAACUCCAAGCUCAACUUGGAGCCUGCAUCCGAAACUGCGAUGACUUGAGUCUGGUAGGGGAACACGGAAUACCUGGUGUAGCGGUGAAAUGCUUAGAUAUCAGGUGGAACACCAGUGGCGAAGGCGGUGUUCUGGGCCAGUACUGACGCUGAUGCGCGAAAGCGUGGGGAGCGAACAGG